rnacentral:rRNA from 1 species
UACGAAGGGGGCUAGCGUUGUUCGGAAUCACUGGGCGUAAAGCGCACGUAGGCGGAUUUUUAAGUCAGGGGUGAAAUCCCGAGGCUCAACCUCGGAACUGCCUUUGAUACUGAGGAUCUGGAGUCCGGGAGAGGUGAGCGGAACUGCGAGUGUAGAGGUGAAAUUCGUAGAUAUUCGCAAGAACACCAGUGGCGAAGGCGGCUCACUGGCCCGGAACUGACGCUGAGGUGCGAAAGCGUGGGGAGCAAACAGG